AUUGAACGCUGGCGGCAGGCCUAACACAUGCAAGUCGAACGAGUGGCGGACGGGUGAGGAAUGUCUGGGAAACUGCCCGUUGGAGGGGGAUAACUACUGGAAACGGUAGCUAAUACCGCAUACCAUCGGAUGUGCCCAGAGGGGAUUAGCUAGUAGGUGGGGUAACGGCUCACCUAGGCGACGAUCCCUAGCUGGUCUGAGAGGAUGACCAGCCACCGUGGAACGGAGACACGGUCCAGACUCCUACGGGAGGCAGCAGUGGGGAAUAUUGCACAAUGGGCGCAAGCCUGAUGCAGCCAUGCCGCGUGUAUGAAGAAGGCCUUCGGGUUGUAAAGUACUUUCAGCGGGGGGGCGUUACCCGCAGAAGAAGCACCGGCUAACUCCGUGCCAGCAGCCGCGGUAAUAC
rnacentral:rRNA from 1 species